CCAGGCAUUCAUUAAUCAAGGGAAAGGGCGUCGUUUGUGAAAGAAAAUAGUUUCUUCUUCUGGUUCUUGUAGGCGACAGGAGGGCAGAGCUGGAGGGUUUCCAUCCUGAGGUAGAGGACAAGAGGCAGAGGUGUUUGGGUGGAGAGGGGAAGAUGUGAGGAAGUAGAAAAAAGGGAAGGCUCCACGUGAUGGAGCAGUUGUGAAGAAGGCGAAAAUAGAAAACAGGGGACCCUCUUUCAUGCUCUGCAUUGACUCGAAGGAAGAAGAAGAAAGAGAAAAUGCCGAGAAGGGAGAAGACGGGGGAGGCGAGGUCAUAUGUUCUGCAGCUUCUUCAUGUGUUUGCACCCAAGUGGAAAGCUACCUCUAUCCUAGCUUAUACAAAAAACAGACAAUAUUUAAUUAUAUUUUCUGUUAUCUCUCAACCUCUGGUAAUUUGUGGGCUAAGGUAGUAGGAGGUAAAAGAAGAGAUUAGAAGAAGAAGAAAAAUGGCGAGAGAGUUGGUUUAUAGUGACCAAGGCAAUGGCUGUGCAGGUUUUGCUAUGAACAACUUCGCAGGUGGAGGCCUGUUCUUGCUUUGCAUGGUGCUUGUCUCUCUCUCGCUUGUGUCAUUGGUCGUCUUCAUUUGUGGUGAUGAUGAUCACAAACCUCACAUAAGAUUUCCUGGUGGUGGUGCUGGUUGUCGAGCCGGUGAUGGUGGUUGCCGAGAUGGCUGCGGCAAAGGUGACGGUGGCUGCCGCGGUUGAUGAGAAGCAGGCUAUUGAA